CCUACGGGAGGGCAGCAGUGGGGAAUUUUGGACAAUGGGCGCAAGCCUGAUCCAGCCAUGCCGCGUGUGGGAAGAAGGCCUUCGGGUUGUAAACCCACUUUUGUCAGGGAAGAAACGGUCUGAACUAAUACUUUGGACUAAUGACGGUACCUGAAGAAUAAGCACCGGCUAACUACGUGCCAGCAGCCGCGGUAAUACGUAGGGUGCAAGCGUUAAUCGGAAUUACUGGGCGUAAAGCGUGCGCAGGCGGCUUUGCAAGACAGAUGUGAAAUCCCCGGGCUCAACCUGGGAACUGCAUUUGUGACUGCAUGGCUAGAGUACGGUAGAGGGGGAUGGAAUUCCGCGUGUAGCAGUGAAAUGCGUAGAUAUGCGGAGGAACACCGAUGGCGAAGGCAAUCCCCUGGACCUGUACUGACGCUCAUGCACGAAAGCGUGGGGAGCAAACAGGAUUAGAUACCCUGGUAGUCCACGCCCUAAACGAUGUCAACUGGUUGUUGGGAGGGUUUCUUCUCAGUACGAAGCUAACGCGUGAAGUUGACCGCCUGGGGAUCGGCCGCAAGGUUGAACUUAAGGAUUACGG
rnacentral:rRNA from 1 species